ACAGUGUUUGAAAAAAAGCAGUACUACUCGUCGGCCAGUAACUCCUAUCACAUCUGAUGAUGAUGACGCUGUGGAAGCAGGUCCAUCAAAAGAAGUAUGGAGCAGCAGAAGUGGCACUUCUGUAAGACAUCACCACAAAAAAACCUGUGGCCGAAAAAAAAGCAAGGUCGUAUGUCCCGGGCCAACCACAGCAGGCUACCCCGCCACGAAGAUUAUCGUCCGUAUGUUCUGUCCCCACACUCCAAAUUUUGGACACACCUCCAAGACGUCAUCCACACCCCCUUAUCUUGAUUCUUCUAGUCCUGGGAACAGCAUCCCUCCGCAACAACAGCAACACAGUGACAUGGAGGAGACAAACAUCUUAGAAAUGCAGCCAUUAAGGCAAGGAAUGAGCCCCCCAGCACCUGUGAGUACACCACCACAGCAAAGCACACCACCACCACAACACAGCCCAACAACACCAGUAACACAAGGCCCUGAUCAGGUAUUUUGGACCAUUUGGGCUAGCAGCAGGCCACUUAUGAAGAUUGCCUGUGUAGGCAGACACAAAUGUUUGCAAGCCUACCAUCUCACCUCAGAAGAAUAUCAAGAAAUCUGAGUAGACAAAAUGAACAAACAACCAGAAUUGGCAAUACCAUGGAACUCAUGCGUAUAGACAUUACACAGGUCAUGGGCAACUUACAGCGCAUAAUGGAAGAACAGCACAGACUAAUGGAAGAACAGCACAGACUAAUGGAAGAACAGCACAGAAAACAGCAAAGUUAUAUGAACAUUUUUCAAAACAAUCAAAAGAUUAAUGAAAGUUUAUUCCGAAUUGUAGACAAUCAAAAUGCUGCUACACGUGAACUCAAUGCCACCCUCACUAACCUGAAUGAAACACUCAGAUGCAUGCACCAACAGCAAACAAGCAGCAGUUCUGGUACGACUACUCCAAAUAUCACGCCAGUCUCAUCACCACCAAGACGCUCCACCAGAGCACGACAACAUGACAGUGCUAAAGGCAAAGGGCAGGACGAGCAACCACCAAAAAAAAUGUGAAAAAAAUACAAGUUAGACAUUUGUGAUAAGUAACUCAAAAUAGUUAGUAAGUGUAUAUUUGGCAAAAAAUAUAUAACACUUAGCUCCUUGACAAUUUAUACAACAUCAUUAAUUAUAAGUGGUACAAACAACAACAUAAAAUUUGUACGCACAUUUAUUCUUUACCAUUUUUUUUUGGUAUUGGAGGAGGGAAAUGUUGAUGGAGCCGCACAUACAUGUUAGCAGGAAGUAAACAGACCACUUGAUUUUUUUCUAAUCAUUACUCUUUCUAGAUUCCAAUCAUUCUCAUUUCCUGCAGACACAAUAAUUGGCAGCCAGGCAGAGUGUCUUUAGCAGGAAGUAAACAGACCACUUGAUUUUUUCCCAAUCAUUACUCUUUCUAUAUUCCAAUCAUUCUG